rnacentral:rRNA from 1 species
GACGAACGCUGGCGGCGUGCCUGACACAUGCAAGUCGUACGAGAAAGUCGGCUUCGGCCGAUGAGUACAGUGGCGCACGGGUGAGUAACGCGUGGGUAAUCUGCCCCCCGGUCAGGAAUAACCCGCCGAAAGGCGGGCUAAUACCCGAUAACACUGACGCUCUGCGGAGCGUCUUUCAAAGAAGGCCUCUGUUUACAAGCUUUCGCCGGAGGAUGAGCCCGCGUACCAUUAGCUAGUUGGCAGGGUAAUGGCCUACCAAGGCAACGAUGGUUAGCUGGUCUGAGAGGAUGGCCAGCCACACUGGAACUGAGACACGGUCCAGACUCCUACGGGAGGCAGCAGUGAGGAAUCUUGCGCAAUGGGGGAAACCCUGACGCAGCAACGCCGCGUGAGUGAGGAAGGUUUUCGGACCGUAAAGCUCUGUCGAGCGGGAAGAAAUGUAUCAUGGCUAAUAUCCAUGAUACUUGACGGUACCGCUAAAGGAAGCACCGGCUAACUCCG